CCCAAUCCUGCUCCCUCCACUUCCCCGAAGACGUCCGUCUUGAAGACGCUCCCAAUAAACUCCUGGCAGGCAAACCCAAAUCUCAGGCCGGCCUCCCCAGAACUGUUUGGUGAUGGUGCUUCUAAAUCCUGGAAGUCUGGGUAUGAGAGUGGAGGUGAAUUAGCGAUUGUGCGUGGCUUAUUUUACAGAUGAGGAAUGAAAGUUACCAUUUGGAAACAGGACGACCUUAGCUACAGAAGACGUGAGGCUUUGGUGCUGUGGCUGGGAGUGGUGAGCUUCCCCCUUGGGCUCCUCACAUUCAGAAUGUGGGUGCUGGGGUUGAGUAUGGGUAGAAAUUCUCCCCUAUAUUUACAGCCAUCAUUUAUACAGACAGUGGUAUCAUUUGGGGCUAUACUGCCCAUAUAAAUAGCUAUUGAAAUUUAAGUUCGCAAUCUCGGCUCACUGCAACCUCGCCUCCCGGGUUCAAGUGAUUCUCCUAUCUCAGCCUCCUGAGUAGCUGGAAUUACAGGUGCCCACCACCACCGCACACCCAACUAAUUUUUGUAUUUUUAGUAGAAACAGGGUUUCACCAUGUUGGGCAGGCUGGUUUCGAACUCCUGAUCUCAAGUGAUCCGUCCGCCUUGACCUCCCAAAGUGCUGUGAUUACAGGUGUGAGCCACCAUGCCUGGUCUCUUUGAAAAGAUUUCUAUGUGAGCAUCCUUCCUGUCUUCUAAGAUACUACCUCACCCACAUAGUGCAUCAAGUACAUGCUCAAUAAAUAUUUGACAAAUAGAAGAAUCAGCAAAAUUUCUCUUGAAGACUACUCUGAUCUCAGAGUUGAGCUAAGCUUUGUGACAGUUUUAAUGGCUUUCAAUGUGAUACCCUCAAGGAGUUAACAAUGUAUUUAAGAAGAUGAUUAUAAUACAUGACACAAAUGUGAAUAUAAGACAGCAUGUAAUUGAGUGCUAAAUUGUGUAGAACAUAGUCCAUGUACUGUCAAAGUUGGAAGGAGACAAAUUAGUGAGAACUGAAAUAGCUGGGAAAGGCAAUGCAUAGAAGGAUUUGAGCUAUGUCUUUAAAAAUAGGGUUUGGACAAAUACUGUCAGAGGAAGAUACCCUGAGCCCAGAAACAAAGAGGAAGACAAGAAAAGUUCACUCUUCCCACAAACUGAUAAAGGGACUACUCUGCAGAAAAUGCUGGUUCAGCCCCCAGGGGAAAUUCAAUGAUAAGUCAAGAGAACUAAAUAUAACUAUCAUGCAUUGGCUGGUGGCUCAGAGUGAGACAUGCUUUGAAGUGAUUCACUAAGUUUAUUUCAUUCAGUUCUCACAAAACCACCUGAAAUAGGCACCAUUAUUAUCUCAUUUUAGAGACAGGAACUAAAGCAUGAUGACAUCAAGUUACUCAACAUCAUUGUGUUAGUCCAUUUUCACACUGCUAUGAAGAACUACCUAAGACUAGGUAAUUUAUAAAGGAAAGAGGUUUAAUUGGCUCACAGUUUCACAUGGCUGGGAGGCCUCAGGAAACUUAUAAUCACGGUGGAAGGGGAAGCAAGGCACAUCUUACAUGGCAGCAGGAGCGAGGGAGGAACUGCCAAACACUACUAAAGCAUCAAACCUUGUGAGAACUCAUUCACUAUUACAAGAACAGCAUCGGGGGAGACCACCUUCAAGAUCCAAUCACCUCCCACCAGGUCCCUCCCUCAACACACCUGGAUUACAAUUCAGGAUGACAUUUGGAUGGGGACACAGAGUCAACCUUAUCAGUCAUUUAGCUAGGAGACUGUGAGGAUGGAUGUGAGUCCACACAAAAGCACAGGGUACAUAAGGAGGAGGUUAGGGGCAGAGUCAAAGCAGAGGCCCAGAGUAAAAGUUUAGGGCAAAGGAGGAACGGGGGUGAAUCCUGAUGGGCGUUAGCAGAGGCUUCAUGGAUAUGAACAGGGUCUCUUAUGGAUAAAGUUGCAGAUCUCUAAACAGUUGAGAAAAUCAUUUAAGCAAAUACUCAUACAAAGAAAAGUACAGAAUAAAAGAGCAAUAUACAAUAUAUUUAACAAGCCUACAUAGUAUAAUGUAUAAUAAAAUAUAACAUAUUACUAUAUAAUUUUACUAACAUAAGUAUCU
rnacentral:lncRNA from 10 species